UACUUACUUGCUGUGCUUCUCUGAGUGCCUCGUGGCCUCUUUAUCACCACCUGUUGAAGGAAAUGUUAGAUCCAGAUAUGGAUGGAAGGGACUUUCGUAGCUAUAGAAACGAGGACUGAUUGGCACAAAGUUCCUGGGCUCUCCAGCCACAGUCGUCAUUUGGAAGGGAAUUCUAAGUCACCAGAGAGCUAACACUUAUUCUUGGGAGAAUGUAAGAGCAAAUCCUCCUUACGCUGCCAAACUGGCACAGGAUACUGCAGCCACUCUGCAAAUGAACAGUGCACAAUAAACAGGCCGAGAGAGAAAGCUUAAAGUUCUAAAAGCCCUCUUGAGGGAAGUGAGAAGGCAGUUCCUGGGAACAGUGAACAAAUGCCGUCAGAAGGUGGAAUCAUUGAUUUCAAUCAUGAAUGACUAAUGAUCGUGAUGGUGUGGUUUAGAACAGAAAUGCAGCUUCUACAGCCUGAAGAACUACCAGCCUUCUCUCCUGUGAUGUUCCAUUUAUACUUGCUUAAUAAAAGCAUCCCAGGUAUUAUGUGACACGGGAACUUUCAGAAAAUGAAGACCCAAAGGAACAGGAGAUCUGUGGAUUUUCAUGGACAGUCAUCUGUGGAUUUUCAAGGACAGUCAUGCAGAAGCAUACUUGGAGAACAGGGAUUAUCUUGAGGUUCUAGGGGCUAAGUGCAUGUUUGAGUGAAAGCUGUAAGAGAGCUAAUGAGCACAGAAUCUAGAAAAAAAAAUAGAUGUAACCAGACAUAAAGGAAAUUCAAAUGAAUUCGAGGUUGAAAUUGGUCUAAGGAACAAUAUUUAGCUUUGAAGGUGAAUUUCAGCAUUGCCUUCCCUUUUGCUGAAUUUGCAGUUUCCCAUAUGGCAUCCAGGUAUACACACAGCUGCAUCGUGUCACUGCAAGCGGCUCCCAGAGUUGUUCCUGUUCAUCCAGGAAGAAAGAAAAUCCCGCCAAAGAUUGAGAGAGAUCAAUAAAUGUAUUUCCAAAGAACCUGAAAGAAGAUGUUUCCAUUUGGCUGUCUUACCCUCUAUCCAAGCUCAGAGGGAAAUGCAUUCAAGAACGUUAACGGCCAGCACAAAUUCCAUUCCAAGCCAUGGAGCGGGAAGGGCACAUGAUACCAAGUGUCCCACCAGACGGCCAUCUUGCUAACUAAUACACCUCGGGAUUACAUUUGCAUUUACACAAAAUGUGAGCUUUGGGAGCCAGACGUAUUAUUUUGGUUAAUAGUUUGGCACGUUCUCAGCUUGGAAGCCUGAGCAUAUGUGAUGGGUCAGUAACACAAUAAAAGUAACGGGGAAGCAUUUCUUUCCCCAGUGGUGAAUUUCUACCCUAUUCAGGAAACAGACUUCCCAACUCAGCCAUUACAGCUGUCUGGAUCGUUCAUACCAUUUGCUGUUAAAUAUACCCAAGUAGGAAAAACAGUGUCUUUGUAUUUGCUGUUAAAUGUAAUCAGAGACAAUCUUUACGGUCAUUCGGGAUCAUUACUAUCAGCAUAAUUACUGCUUUAGAGAACAAUAAUCAUACAUAUGUGUGGUAUAGAUAUGCGGGGAGUCCAAUGCAGAAAUGCAGAAGAGACAAAAGUGCCUGUUAAUAUUUUACGAAAGCUGUAAUUUUAUUGAAAAUUAACUAAUUUACCUAAAGGAACAACUUCGUAUAGGAUUUUUUAGCUCAAUGUGUUCAACAAAGUAGAAAAAAUUACAGGGGGGAAAAGAAACCCUUACCCAGUACAUUGAUGCCUGACAUGACGUGAUUAGAAGUAAUCUAUAUUUUGCAAGUUUAAGAACUAUCUCUAGUUAAGAUGUAAUACCUUUAUAUGAGAAUGUGCAGCGACUCCUCGAGUCAAUAACUGUGUAAGUGUCUGUGUGUGUCCAUUUAUUUUGUAAAAGAGAGAUGAUAUGUUAAAACAUGUCCUCUUUCUUUUUUCUUCCUCACUUGCUUGCAUAUGACAUUCCAGAGGAUUCCACCUGCCUCCGGGAGAAUUAGAAUUACUGCAGAAAUGCAAAGAGAAAGAAAGUUUUUGACUGCCAGCAUAGGAUUUUGAAACCCAUAGAAACAACAGUCUUGAAAGCCUAUAAAUUUGAGAGAGAAAAGGGAUUUCUAAAGCCUCAAAAAUUUCCUUUACAUCUAACAAGCAAAACUAGCAGGACUGAUCAUAAAUUCACACUAAGCCAUUGCCAGGAAGAAUUUAGAAUGUGCCAUAAAGUUUCAACCACAGAAAUAAAACUGAAAAAGGCAACAAAAAAGCCAAUAUAAAUAAAAAAUAAACAGACCAAAACAAACAAACAAAAAAACCAAAACUACAAAACAAUAAGUUCCAACCAGAAAGAAAAGGUUGCACUCAAAGGGUUUUUUUGCAAUCAUAAGUUUGUGACUGUCACGCACGUCUGUGUGAAGAGACCACCAAACAGGCUUUGUGUGAGCAACAAGGCUGUUUAUUUCACCUAGGUGCAGGCAGGCUGAGUCCGAAAAGAGAGUCAGCAAAGGGAGAUAGGGGUGGGGCACUUUUAUAGGAUUUGGGUGAGUAGUGGAAAAUUACAGUCAAAGGGGGUUGUUCUCUUGCGGGCAGGGGCGGGGGUCACAAGGUGCUCAGUGGGGGAGGUUCUGAGUCAGGAAAAGGAAUUUCACAAGGUUAAUCGCUCAGUUAAGGUGGGGCAGGAACAAAUCACAAUGGUGAAAUGUCAUCAGUUAAUGCAAGAACUGGCCAUUUUCACUUCUUUUGUGAUUCUUCACUUGCUUCAGGCCAUCUGGAUGCAUACAUGCAGGUCACAGGGGAUAUGAUGGCUUAGGUUGGGCUCAACGGCCCGACAGUGACAAGGGAGUUGUGAGAAUGAAUGGGAUAAUAUGCCUGAAGCACUUAGCACAAUUAUUGUCGCUGAAAAGAGUCAAGCUGUAAAAUAUUUGAAAAGAUUUAUUCUGAGCCAAAUAUGAGUGACCAUGGCCUCUGGCACAUCCAUCAGGAGAUCCUGAGAACAUGUACCCAAGGUGGUCAGGAAGUCAUGAGACAUCAAUCAGAUACAUUAAGAAAUAUAUUGGCUUGGUCCAGAACAGCGGGACAACUCGUGGGGUGGGGCAGGCUUCCAGGCUAUAGGUCAAUUUCAUGUUCAGGUUAAGAUUCUGGAGACCAAGGUUCUUUUGAAGUCUCAUAGUGGCUGCCCUUAGAGACAACAGAAGACAAACGUUUCCUAUUCAGACCUUUAAAAGGUGCUAGACUCUCCGUUAACCUCUUCAGGACUGGGAGGGCCUGGAAGAAAAAGAUCUAGCUAUGUUAAUAGAGUUUCUUUACAGAUGCAAAUUUUCUGCCACAAAGGACAGCUUUGCACGGCCAUUUCAAAAUACAGCAAAGAAACAUGUUUUGGGAUAAAAUAUUUUUAUUUUCUUGUUUGUCACAUAAUGUUAUGCAAGAGUCAGAUUGGAAAGUAAAUCACGAUAUAUAGGCUUAAAUAAAACCCAUCUGAUGAGAAUUUAUGGUUUGUAGGGCAUGACUCUCCAGACCCCUUUAGAUAGGAAUUUGGCUAAGAUAAGAAAAAAAUCAGAGCUUAGUCCUCAAUUCCCAGCAUUUGAUAAAUACUCUCAUGUUUAUAAAAAACGUUACUACAGUUAACACAUUACCUGGUAAAUAUUACCUCUCUACUUGUCUGCUCCCAUCCCACUAGACUCAAAUGGAUUGAGGGCAGGGAUUCCACUUUAUUCAUUCCUUCAUCCUUAGCUCCUAUCACAGAGCUUGGUACUUGAUAAAUUUUUGUGGAGCAAAUGAACCUCACUGGUUCUCUGAGACAAAGAAGGCAUGCAGUAAGAAGGUCGAGUGGUCCCUGCUCUUUGUUGUUCAUUUACAAGACACCAUCAUCAUAAGCACCAGUUUGUGGCUGGUUGUGUAAAAGAAAAUAAAAACCUAACCAAUCUGAGUUUUAGAUUGGGUAAGGAUGAGAUUUUUUUAACCUUCUGAUGAUAAAAUAAUCAGAUGGGCUACCCCAAAAUGUGGAGGACUCUUUAUGCUUAAUGAGCUUUUUGAGAUGUCAACAAUAUCUGUCCUGGAUGAUUUAGACAUUCCCUUGCCUGCAGAGAGAGAGCUGGGCCGGAUCAUCUCUGAAAGUGCCUUCAGCUCUCUAUUAUCACUACAUGAUUCUAUUAACCAGUUAAUAUUUUUCCUGUAAUUUGCCCUUAGCAACUGCCUAACAACAUUACAGGUCCUUCCAUAGGAUGCAAUGAUGUGACAUUAAUCUAAUAUCACGUCCCCUCUCUGCCUGUUUCACCAACACCUCUCAUUCCUUGACCCUGAAUAAUGAUUCAAGGACAUCUUCUUUCCUUUUCUUCAACUAAACUAAGACCACCCUUAGGGCUUUAAACCAGUACCCAUCAUAGGCUCCGUGCUUACUAAAAAUCUACCUGGAGGUUCAGAUACUUCAUUCACCAGGCCUUAAGUUCUUCUGUUGGUUACAGUGAGUUCUAGAUUUCUCUUCAAAGAAUCAAUAUGUCAGUAUGUUCAGUUUUUUGUCCCCCAUUUUAAAGUUAGGCUGGGCGCGGUGGCUCACGCCUGUAAUCCCAGCACUUUGGGAGGCCGAGGCAGGUGGAUCACCUGAGGUCAAGAGAUCGAGAGCAUCCUGGCUAACACGGUGAAACCCUGUCUCUACUAAAAAUACAAAAAAUUAGCCGGGCACGGCAGUGGGCACCUGUAGUCCCAGCUACUCGGGAGGCUGAGGCAGGAGAAUGGGGUGAGCCCAGGGGGCGGAGCUUGCAGUGAGCCGAGAUAGUGCCACUGCAGUCAGGCCUGGGCGAAAGAGCAAGACUCCGUCUCAAAUAAA
rnacentral:lncRNA from 10 species